UGAACGACCUGUAUAGUGAGGCUCCUAUAUGAACAUAUGCCACUGCCCAAAAAUGUCCAAAGACGCCAAUGGGUUGAACAGGGAUUGUCGGAUUAAGGCUUUCCAUAAUGUGGCUAAGAAACCAGUUUUCUUUACGUUGUAUAGUGCCAAAUCUUUAGCGAGGGGAAUAGUA
rnacentral:sRNA from 2 species